rnacentral:rRNA from 1 species
AUGGCUCAGAUUGAACGCUGGCGGCAUGCUUACACAUGCAAGUCGAACGGCAGCACGGGCUUCGGCCUGGUGGCGAGUGGCGAACGGGUGAGUAAUAUAUCGGAACGUACCCAAGAGUGGGGGAUAACGUAGCGAAAGUUACGCUAAUACCGCAUACGAUCUACGGAUGAAAGCAGGGGACCGCAAGGCCUUGUGCUCCUGGAGCGGCCGAUAUCUGAUUAGCUAGUUGGUGAGGUAAAGGCUCACCAAGGCGACGAUCAGUAGCUGGUCUGAGAGGACGACCAGCCACACUGGAACUGAGACACGGUCCAGACUCCUACGGGAGGCAGCAGUGGGGAAUUUUGGACAAUGGGCGCAAGCCUGAUCCAGCAAUGCCGCGUGAGUGAAGAAGGCCUUCGGGUUGUAAAGCUCUUUUGUCAGGGAAGAAACGGUAGAGGCUAAUAUCCUUUGCUAAUGACGGUACCUGAAGAAUAAGCACCGGCUAACUACGUGCCAGCAGCCGC